rnacentral:rRNA from 1 species
UACAGAGGUCCCAAGCGUUGUUCGGAUUCAUUGGGCGUAAAGGGUGCGUAGGCGGCGCGGUAAGUCGGGUGUGAAAUCUUGGAGCUUAACUCCGAAACUGCAUUCGAUACUGCCGUGCUCGAGUACUGGAGAGGAGACUGGAAUUUACGGUGUAGCAGUGAAAUGCGUAGAUAUCGUAAGGAAGACCAGUGGCGAAGGCGAGUCUCUGGACAGUUACUGACACUGAGGCACGAAGGCCAGGGGAGCAAACGGG